rnacentral:rRNA from 1 species
AACGAACGCUGGCGGCAUGCCUAACACAUGCAAGUCGAACGAGACCUUCGGGUCUAGUGGCGCACGGGUGCGUAACGCGUGGGAACCUGCCCUUAGGUUCGGAAUAACUCCCCGAAAGGGGUGCUAAUACCGGAUAAUGUCUUCGGACCAAAGAUUUAUCGCCUUUGGAUGGGCCCGCGUUGGAUUAGCUAGUUGGUAGGGUAAAAGCCUACCAAGGCGACGAUCCAUAGCUGAUCUGAGAGGAUGAUCAGCCACACUGGGACUGAGACACGGCCCAGACUCCUACGGGAGGCAGCAGUGGGGAAUAUUGGACAAUGGGCGAAAGCCUGAUCCAGCAAUGCCGCGUGAGUGAUGAAGGCCUUAGGGUUGUAAAGCUCUUUUACCCGGGAUGAUAAUGACAGUACCGGGAGAAUAAGCGCCGGCUAACUCCGUG